GAUGAACGCUAGCUACAGGCUUAACACAUGCAAGUCGAGGGGCAGCAUGGUCUUAGCUUGCUAAGGCCGAUGGCGACCGGCGCACGGGUGAGUAACACGUAUCCAACCUGCCGUCUACUCUUGGACAGCCUUCUGAAAGGAAGAUUAAUACAAGAUGGCAUCAUGAGUCCGCAUGUUCACAUGAUUAAAGGUAUUCCGGUAGACGAUGGGGAUGCGUUCCAUUAGAUAGUAGGCGGGGUAACGGCCCACCUAGCCAACGAUGGAUAGGGGUUCUGAGAGGAAGGUCCCCCACACUGGAACUGAGACACGGUCCAGACUCCUACGGGAGGCAGCAGUGAGGAAUAUUGGUCAAUGGGCGCGAGCCUGAACCAGCCAAGUCGCGUGAGGGAUGACUGCCCUAUGGGUUGUAAACUUCUUUUAUAAAGGAUAAAGUCGGGUAUGUAUACCCGUUUGCAUGUACUUUAUGAA
rnacentral:rRNA from 1 species